rnacentral:rRNA from 1 species
AGGGGGAUAGCCUUCCGAAAGGAANAUUAAUACCGCAUANUAUGUUUUUAUCNCAUGGUAGAAACAUCAAAGGAGCAAUCCGCUAUAAGAUGGACCCGCGGCGCAUUAGCUAGUUGGUGAGGUAACGGCCCACCAAGGCGACGAUGCGUAGCCGACCUGAGAGGGUGAUCGGCCACAUUGGAACUGAGACACGGUCCAGACUCCUACGGGAGGCAGCAGUGGGGAAUAUUGCGCAAUGGGGGAAACCCUGACGCAGCAACGCCGCGUGAAUGAAGAAGGCCUUAGGGUUGUAAAGUUCUGUUUUCUGGGACGAUAAUGACGGUACCAAAGGAGGAAGCCACGGCUAACUACGUGCCAGCAGCCGCGGUAAUACGUAGGUGGCAAGCGUUGUCCGGAUUUACUGGGCGUAAAGGAUGCGUAGGCGGAUGUUUAAGUGAGAUGUGAAAUACCCGAGCUCAACUUG